rnacentral:lncRNA from 10 species
AACAGGACACAAUUGGAGAAACUGGUUAUUUUACCAAGGCUUUGACUGGAAUGGUGCACUUUCCUUUAAGGAUCAAACAUGACUUAUGGAGCCAAUUAAAUCCCCUUGGGAAAACUGGCCUCAUUGCUUGUCUACACAGUUCCUGUCCAGGGUUCCUGACUUACGAGGAUGUGAGACUUCACAACCUGCUAAAAAUGAACUUUCCUAAUAACUCGGGACCUACCCAUCUAGGAAUAAACCAUCCUAUUCAUGACAGUGCCUGUGAAAGAUAAAGGAGAAAGAAUCAGGGUUGGAGAACUGGAAAAGUCUUGGCCAACCAAAUAGGCAACCCUGCAGCAAAGAUUGCCCAUUAGAAGAGUCAAAUGCUAGGAAGAAAUUGCAAACCCUACUAUUCUCACUGUGCUCAAACUUCGACUAGGAACUUCCACAAAGAGUGUGGCCUUGGCUUGAACAUUGCAGCAGCAGAUUAUGUAGGUGCUGAACUUGGAGUUUUGCACUUCUCACAGCUGACAGCAAAUUCUUUCUUCAAGGGAGACCUGAGCAGUCCUCCAUAUCUGCCAAAUUACUGCAUAGGAACAAAAAGGAGCCCUCCAUUCAUCUAAGAAGCAAAAUGAACUAGCAGAGAGAGCUUUGGCAUCAGGCAAAUCUGAUUGUAAAUACUUCUAGCAUAUAGUUGCUCUUACAUUGGUAUGUUGCCUAUUGUUUCAGAGUAUUACUUUCCUUGUCUAUAAUGGGAAAAUAAUAAUAAUUAUCUUAUGGUUAUUUGUUGAAUACAUGGGUAAAGUUAUUAUGAGGAUUAAAUAAGAUAACACUUGGGAAUAGCCUAAUAGAGUGUUUAGCACAUAAUGGAUGUUCAAUGGAUAUAUUAAAGUAAUAAAUUGCCCUAAUUUCUUAUUUGCAAAAGUUAAGAGACUCUGGUCACAACUUCUGAUGGAAUAUCUUAAAUAAUUCAUUUUUUUCCUAGACAUUUUAUGCACAAUAAUGGGACUGUGAUACACACAUUACCCCUUCUGCCUGAAGUGACUUGACUUUCCCUCUUUGUCACUCUGCAAGGUCCAUUGUCCAUUCUGAAGCAUUAAAUAACUAGUAUAAUAGGUCAUGAGGGAAAUUCCUGGCAUCUUAAUUUAAGUAUAUUACUUUGGCUGCAAGUCAAAGUUAUCAUUAUUAGGAUUUCUGGCAUCAGAACAAUCACUUGUAAUUCUUUCUGGAAGAAUUUUCUUGGUUAAGCAAUGCUAAUGAAAUCCUACUUAAACCAGCUAUAUUCUCUGGCAAUUUCCCAUCUAUGUAUGCACUGAUAAAUACUUGGAAGAUUCUCAUUCCUCAUUGAUUUAUUGACAUAAAAUCAUUUUGGUUCACUAUUACAAUUUUCAUUUCAUCUACAAUUAACCCAUUAAAUUUAUUAUUCCAAUUAUUCUUUACUCCUGGCACCUUAUGUUACUAUAACUGUUAUUUUAUACUAUUAUUAACACCUAAAUCUAUGAUACUGAAAAGGGUAAUAAUAAAUUUACAGUAGUUAUUUCCACAUCACCUUAGUUUGGGACAUAUUAUUGUUUACAACUUUACGUUACUACAGUAAUCUUGCUGUAUAAGUAUCUGUGUACAAGUUCUUUAUUUUUUACGGAAACAUUGAAAUAUUUAUUUGGAUUUUUUUCAGAGUUGGAUUGCUGGAUCAGGAAAUAUUAAUAUUUUAAAGACAUUUAUUACCAAACCAGUAUCAAAAAUAUCACUUUGGUUGACCAUGAUACCAGCAAUGGAUACAUGUAUAUGUUUCCCUGAAAUGCUAUGAAUACUGUUUUUCUGAGGCAUGAAGAGGUAAGCAGCAACACAAAGACUAGCAUCAAUGCCUCCUCUUUUUUUAUCUAGUGCUUUCAGCACAACCUAUCAUAUGAGCAAAAAGUAUACAUUAAUCUAGUAGAUGCACCUGCCUAUUUUAUCUUGUGGUUUAACUUCCAAGAACACUUCCUAAAAAUAUACAAUGUCUUAGCACCAAUUACAAUGUUAUAAUUAAUUUAUCCUUAAUUUUCUGAAUAAAGUAAUUUUCAGGCACAUCUUUCCAUGGAUUCGGUUUGUAGUUCUGGCUAAUUGCAUGGGCUCAGAAACCAGACGGAAUCUCAAGUCUCCUACUUAGUAGAUAUGUGAGAGGCACAGGGGUUACUCAGUCUUUCUGCACUUCAAUUUUCUUCCUAUGAAAUGGGUUUGACAAUGGCAUAGAAUUUAGAGUAUUAUGACACAUAAAUGAGUUAAUAUAAAGAAACUACUUAAAAAGUAUCUAAUAUACAGUAAAAUACCAAUAAAUUCUAGCUGUAUUUGGGAGCUCCCUAAAUAUGUAGUAGGGAGAUAUAUAUUUAAUAGGCUUUGUCUUUGUUUAAAAUGAUUGAUUGAUUAGGCCAUUUAUGUUGUAAUAUAUGUUUAACACCAUGUAGAUCAGGGAAGACAAAUAUAUUUCAUGUCCCAUUGUCAUUUGACUGGUAAUGGCUGCCUGGAACACUGUGCUGAAAAGGAUUGUGUGUCCACAUCUAUGACUAGAGAGAGUCAUAUUUAAUUAGCAGUGUCAGCCACAGGUGCAGAAG